UUUCAAACAGACACUCAGGAGGAGCAAAGACUAAGGUACGUUAAUGACACGUGGUUCAAUUAAGUACUCACUCUCUUAAGCUUUAAAUCUUCACAGAAAUGAUUACUUGUGUUUGUGCGUGUGACUUUGAGCGGUGAAUGUAAACUCAGCUGUCAUAACCAGCAGCAGGAGAGCACCUUGUUAACCUCUUGGUGUACUGCAUGCUCAAAACAUCAUAGCAUUGUUUAUUAAGGCUGCUCACAUAGCAUUUAUCUUUUUAUUUACGGGCCAAAGAAAAAGACCCCCUCAAGAAUUUUCCAAACAGCACUUUGAACAGGCUGUUUUUUUUUGGAUACCACUGGAACCAGAAGCACUGUCCGGUCUGCCACCACAUCUUCAUCAUCUUCAUCCACCACCACCAAGAGAACCCUCACAUCGGACGUCACAGUGCGCCUUGACUUUGGUUGUGCACAGAAGGGUGGUAGGACAUAUUUUUUUUGGACGAUACUCCUUCUUUUAUACGUUUUUCCAGAUUGAACUCAGUCCUGAGAUCUCAGAGGUUUCCUUUAUUUUUGAUGUUACCUGCUUGGACAUUCUUUUGAUGUGUGGAAUCGUGCAUUUGCUGAAGAAAUGAUUGUCUAAUUGUGUUAUAAAUAUUUGGGGUGGCCAUUUCCUGUUUCCAAUUGAAUACUCAGCAGUUUCCUCAUCGAACCUGGAUUGAAUUUGCAUAUCCCCCUAUAUUCUGUAUAUUCUGCACUGUCUCUAAGCGCCAGUUGCAGGGGAGGGGUUACACAUACAAAAACAUACAUACCUACUCAAGCUUUAACUUAAAAGGUCACGUGAACUUAACAACCGCCAUUUGGUUGCACUGUCCUUUAAUUAUUUAUGAAUCUGCUUUGGCCAAUACUGCAGAUAUGCUGACACAACACAUUGUCCCAUCCAGUACAGUGGUGUGUCGAUCACAGUCUCUGAGUGACAAGUCAAU
ensembl:lncRNA